UGAGCUUCCUUUGGUCAGGGCAAGAACAGCAACACAAAGGCUAAGAAAAGGGGCACAUUGUAUAGGACACAGUGUUGAGUGUUAGCUUAGUAUGCGUCAUCUAGGUUGUAAAGACUUCUGUGGAAGCAAAUGAAGAUGUCCAGUAAGCAGCUGUGAACACAAGCCCAGAACUAGCUGCAAUGCUGGGCUACGGUUUUGCAAUAACGGUAUGAAUGAGGGAUGCAAUAGAAAGGCUGUUACCUAAGCUCUCUCCAUGUCCUCUCCUCCGCCCCCUUUCCCAGCCUCCAGCAACCACCGUUCUUUCUUCUUCUACCAUAUCCACACUUCCAGUUUCUACAAGCGAAUGAGAGCAGGAGGUGUUUGUCUUCAGUGACUGGUUUAUUCCACUUCAAGUGAUGCCCCCAGUUCCCUCUGUUAUCCUAUAAAUAGCAGGCAUUUUGCUCUCUUUAUGUCUGAAUAACAUCCCAUUGUGUGCAAGUGC
rnacentral:lncRNA from 1 species